GUUAGACGAACGGUCUGGAAAGUCCGACGAUACAGGGUGAUAGUCCCGUAGUUGACGACGUGUGUUCAGUGAAAUCGAGUAGGGCGGGACACGUGAUAUCCUGUCUGAAUAUGGGGGGACCAUCCUCCAAGGCUAAAUACUACUGACUGACCGAUAGUGAACCAGUACCGUGAGGGAAAGGCGAAAAGAACCCCUGUGAGGGGAGUGAAAUAGAACCUGAAACCGUGUACGUACAAGCAGUAGGAGCAGGCUUUGUCCUGUGACUGCGUACCUUUUGUAUAAUGGGUCAGCGACUUAUAUUCAGUGGCAAGGUUAACCAUCUAGGGGAGCCGUAGGGAAACCGAGUCUUAACUGGGCGUUCAGUCUCUGGAUAUAGACCCGAAACCAGGUGAUCUAGCCAUGGGCAGGUUGAAGGUUGAGUAACAUCAACUGGAGGACCGAACCGACUAAUGUUGAAAAAUUAGCGGAUGACUUGUGGCUAGGGGUGAAAGGCCAAUCAAACCUGGAGAUAGCUGGUUCUCCCCGAAAGCUAUUUAGGUAGCGCCUCGGACGAAUACUACUGGGGGUAGAGCACUGUUAAGGCUAGGGGGUCAUCCCGACUUACCAACCCUUUGCAAACUCCGAAUACCAGUAAGUACUAUCCGGGAGACACACGGCGGGUGCUAACGUCCGUCGUGGAGAGGGAAACAACCCAGACCGCCAGCUAAGGUCCCAAAUUACUACUAAGUGGGAAACGAUGUGGGAAGGCUCAGACAGCCAGGAUGUUGGCUUAGAAGCAGCCAUCAUUUAAAGAAAGCGUAAUAGCUCACUGGUCGAGUCGGCCUGCGCGGAAGAUGUAACGGGGCUAAGUAGUAAACCGAAGCUGCGGCAAUGUGCUUUUGCACAUUGGGUAGGGGAGCGUUCUGUAAGCGGUUGAAGGUGUGUGGUAACG
rnacentral:rRNA from 1 species